rnacentral:ribozyme from 14 species
CAAAGAAAAGAAAAGAAAAGAAAAAAAAUGGUCAUCUUGCUCUCUUCUCUCGCCUUCAUUCGUUCAUCAUUCACCUCUUUUUUUCCCUCAUCUUUGUCUUCCU